rnacentral:lncRNA from 1 species
UUCGGUACUCUUCAUAAUGGCACACCAUGGGUGCUAACUGUUGCCGCCGGGACCAUUGAUCGUGAAUUCGCCGCUAGUUUAGUUCUCGGAGAUGGUCAGUCGGUCAACGGCUUGUCUCUCUACCUAGGAAAAGUCAACCCAGAUGAGAUACCAGUUGUUUUCAUGGACGCCUGCGCUAGUGUGAAUGAACUGAGUCGACUCGGGGAAAAGAUUGUAGUGUGUCAAGAUAAGAAUGACUCACUCGGCGACCAAAUACAGAACAUCUUGGCUGCUAAAGUUGCCGGAGGAAUCUUCAUAACGAACAACACCGACAUAGAAUUCUUCAUUGAGAGCUUGUUUCCUGCAAUUUUCAUGAGUGUUGAAAAUGGAGAAUUAAUCAAAGAUUACAUCAAGCGCGGGAUAAAUCCAAAAGCAAGAAUGAAGUUUAAAGAAACAAAUCUGAGCAUAAAGCCUGCGCCGAAAACAACUAGCUAUACCUCUAGAGGGCCGUCAGAGAGCUGUCCAUUUGUGAUGAAGCCUGAUAUUAUGGCUCCAGGAUCGUUAAUCCUAGCUUCAUGGCCUGAAAACAUCUCCGUCGCCACCAUCGGUAACGACCAGUCCCUGUUCAGUAACUUCAAUGUAAUU